AACGGACUACACAAUACACGCACUACAGAUGGGUGCCCGGGGACCUCAGAACCAACCGCUGUGGACACCAGGAGACAGCUGUGCCUCAUUUGUCUCUGCCUGGAUUUCAGUCUGUUGGGGGUCAGAGCUAGAAAAGAAUCGGCUGCUAAUUUUCUUCCGUGAUGUUUACUUUCCCCUAAGGAACUCAGAGACUCAAAGAUUUAAAAGUCCUGUGCCCACGGAGAAUUGCCGACUGAAGGGGACGGAGCGGACCGGGUCCCUUAGGUGUGGAGACCAUUGUCAUCAGAGUGUGAAAAUGAAAUGACUCUGUAUGUAGGUCACUGACCCCCUUCUCUACUGUGAGGGUUCAAAUGAGUCAAGAUUCCCAAAUGAAACAAAGGGCAAGCUUCAGAGGAACACAAAAAGGCAAUGAGACAAAAGGAAGAAAGAGGAGGGGCCGGAGGAAGACAGAUGAUGAGGGAUUAAAAAAAUCCCACUUGAAUACGAAGGCACUUUCAAAGUCCCUAUUAAACAAUAUCCUAGGCCUGUAUGAGUUCCGAAGACCUAGAAAUUCAGUUUCUCUAAUGCUCUUAGUUCUAGUGGCCUGCCAUGGCCUCAGCUCCUUGUGUGCCCAGAGAAGAG
rnacentral:lncRNA from 1 species